CAAAGAUUUACUAUUAAAAAUCCUGGGGAUGAGGUCUUAACACAGAAAACCCAUCUGUCGUCGCUACAGAGGACUACUAUGAAGAAAGCGCCUGGCAUAAUCUUGGCACAUCGAAGGCAUUCAAAAAAUACCAGUCGUCUCUCUUCACUCCCUCUAACUCUAACUCAUUUUAACCUCAUUUAAACUUUGAGGAAAAAGAACUCAAGGUCAGACAAGGCUUGGUUCAACACCCUGAGCUGGGUUGGCUUGACAGGACUAGCACUAGACCUGACCCAGAGGUAAAGGCAAUUGUGGGAAGAGCGGACGGACCUGGGAAGAAAUCUAGAAGCCAACGAGCAGAACACCAAAGCUUGUCACUGGGCAACAGAGAACUGGUCCAACAAAGCUGUCACCAUCAGAAAUGUGUGUCACCAGGUCAGAGAAACAGGAAAUCAAGGAAAGACAGAAGAGAGAAAAAAAGAAAAGAGAAAGCAGAAAUGUGGGUUUUGCUGCAAAGAAAUACCAAAAUUGUUUCCAAUCAGUCAAAGUGAAUCAUCUGUCUACCAACAUGCCUCAUUUUUCAUUGUCUAUAGUGGUGUCCACAGCUAGCUGACACUUCACAUGAAGAUUGAAGAAGAAUAAAUUUCAUUUUAAAUAC
rnacentral:lncRNA from 1 species